rnacentral:lncRNA from 1 species
GUUGGGGAAAUAUUUGUUAAAUGGACGAGCUAGGUCUGCCUCCUACACCAAAACUCAAACUUCCUGAAGACAGAGACACUGUUGCUUCCGUCUUCUGUCAUCAAGUCCUUUUGGAAUAUGGGCACAAAUGUGGUGGGGUGCCCAAACAUUCAAUUAAAAUCAGUAGUUAUUUAUUGAGCCUAGAUGCCAAGCACUGGGUAGAAACCAAAAAAUUUAUUUUUGUCAAUUCAGUAAGAUUUUGCCUGCUGUGUACUAGUAUUGGGGGGAGGUUUGGUGGGGGAGAUACAAGAAGACAUUUCUGCCUUCAAAGCAGCGUUUAAACAAUAUAUGUUCUAACUCUAUUCAUUUUAGAGGUAAGGAAACAGACCUAGAAAAUGAACUUGUCUUAAGAUACAGAAUAAACUGGGGCUAAACAAGGUCACCCGGCCACUGAUGGCCGGUUUAAGGAGGUAUCAGGAAUGCCAUUUACAUGUAGAGAUGGAGUGGGAGGCAGAGCUGGAUGUGUUUACGCUGCAGAGAACAGGACACCGAUAGUCUCUAGCUAGUACAGUACAUGGCAGUGUCCAUCUAUAAGUGCACUGAAAGGGGUAGAGGAGGCAGGGCAGGGAGGGAAUGUUCAGGGAGCUAGGACCAGGAGCCCCUGGCCAAAACAAGGCCUGGAAAGGUCGCUACUCUAGAAGAAAUGAAGGAGCAUUUGAAGGUUUUGAGCUGGGAAAGCCUAGAAUCAGAUUUGCCCUUGCUGUUGUCCUCAAGGUUAAACAGCAGCAGAAGAACAACAAAUGAAAAAACCAGAGCCAAGUUUGAGCUAUGAUUAGGGCAUCUCUGCAUCCUGAAAUUGACCUCCACAAUGUGUAGCGGGCAACUUGAAGAUGGAAAGCUGCCUCUGUUUGAAGGAAAAUACCCUUCAAAGCCUGGAGGCAAUGGGCCUUGCUCUCACACUCACCCAGUCCUCUUCAGAGAUAAUCUUUUAGUUGAAGUGAUCUAUUUCCCCCAAAACUACUUCUAAUAUAUUUAGUUAAUAUGAUCUGUUUACUUUUUUAUUUUUUCUUUUUGUAGUGCUGGGGAUUCAAUCCAGGACCUGACACAUUCUCAGCAAGUGCUCUAUCCCUGAGCUGUAUUUUAUAAUAUCUUAUCUCUUCUAGUAGUUUUCUAAUUUAUUUGUUUUUUCAAAAUGAAGCUAUGAGUCUUUCUAGUUA